rnacentral:lncRNA from 1 species
AACACAUCAGAUCUAGCAAAAUAUCAUCAUAUAUAUAGAUUUGGGAGAGAGAAAGUUACUAAACUUAACUUAUUUUUCAACCUAGCUCUCAUCAACUCUUGUUCUCUCUAACCCUCUGAAUUUUAAAAGUCUCUCAAUCAUAUAAUCAGUCCCUAGAACACCAAAAAUAGUUAAGGAAAGCAUAGAUCAAAGAUCGGAAUCAAGAAGGUAUAAAAGCCCUAACCUAUUUUGAUAUUGCAUGCUUAGAAAUUUUUUUGUGUUUAUGUGUUUAAUCAUGUGUUAUAAGAUGUUUUUAGAUGAUCUAUGUUGAUCCAUCAUAGAUCCAUAGCAUCAAAGUGUCUUAAAAUGAUGAUUUUUCAAAACUGUUCUUGAGCUUGAAAUGUGGUCUGACAACCGAAUGUCAGUGGCCACAGAUCAUUGUUCGUUUAUGAUUUUUGUUGUUUUAAAGCUUUAAUCUAUACUCUGGCAUGUGGUCUGUAAUCUGGAAAUGGAAUCCAAGUUAUUCGAUUUCCAGAUUUCAAGUUAUAAUGUAUCACAUAUUAUUCUUAUACUCUGACCGACCAAUUAAAUACCAAAUAAACUUAGGCAGGUCAUACUAGCGAAAGAAUUCCCCGUCUCUCCCCUCCUAGUUCUUGUCUCACAUCUUAGCCAAGGAUCAUUUCCUAAGCUUUGAUACCAACUGUGACGCCCCCAAAAUUAGGUAUACAUCACCCAUCUUGGGUCGCCACUUAUAUGGUACUAAAUACAAAUACAAACUAAAUUAUACAACAGUCGUGUAAGAUACAACAAAAUAUAUACUGAGAGUUUCAAUAAGAAUAUUAUCAUCUAGACAGUAUUCAAACACAAUAGAGUCCUCAUUAUAUUUAUUAUCACACUAUUUCACAAAAUAGUGAGGACUACUAAUACACCAUCUAGGACCAUCACUCCGUUCCCCGACUCGUCCCAGCUACGUUCUCAUUUCCUGAAGAGAACAGUGAAAGAAAGGGUGAGCUCAACUAGCCCAGCAAGAAAUAUUAUGACUAAGAUAAUGCAGAAUAAAUUAUCAUUAGUCCUCAAUAAUGUUAAACUGAUAAAAUACAAUAGACAUCAAGUUUAACUGCAGCGGAAC